CCUACGGGAGGCAGCAGUGGGGAAUAUUGGGCAAUGGACGAAACUCUGACCCAGCAAUGCCGCGUGAAUGAAGAAGGUCUUCGGAUUGUAAACUUCUUUUCUCAGGGACGAAGAAAGUGACGGUACCUGAGGAAUAAGCCACGGCUAACUACGUGCCAGCAGCCGCGGUAAUACGUAGGUGGCAAGCGUUAUUCGGAUUUACUGGGGGUAAAGGGCGUGUAGGCGGGAAAGCAAGUCAGAUGUGAAAACCAUGGGCUCAACCUGUGGGCUGCAUUUGAAACUGUUUGUCUUGAGUACUGGAGAGGCAGACGGAAUUCCUAGUGUAGCGGUGGAAUGCGUAGAUAUUAGGAGGAACACCAGUGGCGAAGGCGGUCUGCUGGACAGCAACUGACGCUGAGGCGCGAAAGCGUGGGGAGCAAACAGGAUUAGAUACCCUAGUAGUC
rnacentral:rRNA from 1 species